CAGAAGUAGCACGCAGACAUGAAAAUGAGUGGAGCCCACAACUGACCGUUGGGGGACACUGCAGGCAAGAGGUGAUGCACCGGAUCUAUGUCCCAUAGAAACAAACUGCCAUCUAUAAGAGAGGAAAACAGGGACAGCUACCACGCUAACGCCGGCCUCGCGGAACUGAGAUGGUGAUGAGGCAGAUCCUGCGGAUUCACCAGUGGCCUUUCUUACAGUCAGCCGUGAAAAUACCAACUAGUCCAGUUCACUAUCAGCCAGAAAAAGUUUUUUUUGUCAUUGGAAAUUAAAAUAAAGUGGUCACCAUUCCCAAAUUUAA